AAAUGAUGAGUGUCAUAGAUUAGACAUAGGUUUAUUCUAUAAAUUAAAGUGUAAGCACUCCACCUCAAGAGUAAUUUGGCAACAUUGGAACUGAAAUCAUUAGACCGUUUCUGAAACCAGUAGUGAAGUAUGUUGUUUAAUUUGAUAACCCGCAAAAAACCUUACCACAACUUGAAUGUUUAUAUGUUAUUAUGUAGACACAAGCGUUGCACGGCUGUCUUCAGUUAAUGUCGCGAGAUUAUGGUUAGUUCCAUUAAAUUAACGUAAACCCUUACUUUAUUUUUAAAUAAAGUUGUUCUCCACUAUAUUGGAUAAGAUAACAGGGAUUAAGACAAGUCAUCAUGGCCUGAAUGUUGUGGGCUAUAGA
rnacentral:rRNA from 1 species